CAGUACAAAAUGGCUCGACUCCCAGGU
rnacentral:piRNA from 1 species